CGGUUCCUGUACGGUCACCGAAGUCAAGCAACGUCAGGCCUGGUCAGUACCGCGAUGGGUGACCGCUUGGGAAUACCAGGUGU